GAAAUGCGAUAAGUAAUGUGAAUUGCAGAAUUCAGUGAAUCAUCGAAUCUUUGUACGCACAUUGCGCCCCCUGGUAUUCCGGGGGGCAUGCCUGUUCGAGCGUCAUUUCACCACUCAAGCCUCGCUUGGUAUUGGGCGACGCGGUCCGCCGCGCGCCUCAAAUCGACCGGCUGGGUCUUCCGUCCCCUCAGCGUUGUGGAAACUAUUCGCUAAAGGGUGCCGCGGGAGGUCACGCCGCAAAACAACCCCAUUUCUAAGGUUGACCUCGGAUCAGGUAGGGAUACCCGCUGAACUUAAGC
rnacentral:misc_RNA from 1 species